rnacentral:tRNA from 1 species
GGAGGGGUGGCCGAGUGGUCGAAGGCGGCGGUCUUGAAAACCGUUAGGGUAUACGCCCUCGUGGGUUCGAAUCCCACCUCCUCCGCCA